GACGAACGCUGGCGGCGUGCUUAACACAUGCAAGUCGAACGGAAAGGCCCUGCUUUUGUGGGGUGCUCGAGUGGCGAACGGGUGAGUAACACGUGAGUAACCUGCCCUUGACUUUGGGAUAACUUCAGGAAACUGGGGCUAAUACCGGAUAGGAGCUCCUGCUGCAUGGUGGGGGUUGGAAAGUUUCGGCGGUUGGGGAUGGACUCGCGGCUUAUCAGCUUGUUGGUGUGGUAGUGGCUUACCAAGGCUUUGACGGGUAGGCGGCCUGAGAGGGUGACCGGCCACAUUGGGACUGAGAUACGGCCCAGACUCCUACGGGAGGCAGCAGUGGGGAAUAUUGCACAAUGGGCGGAAGCCUGAUGCAGCAACGCCGCGUGCGGGAUGACGGCCUUCGGGUUGUAAACCGCUUUCGCCUGUGACGAAGCGUGAGUGACGGUAAUGGGUAAAGAAGCACCGGCUAACUACGUG
rnacentral:rRNA from 1 species